AAGCGUGGUAGUAUAACUAUAUUACAUCUUGUUUACACCAAGAAAAUCAUUUAAUAGUGUUGCGCUU
rnacentral:tRNA from 1 species